rnacentral:lncRNA from 1 species
CAAUGAAGGCUGAUGAUGUCUGUCUCUGUUGGGCUUGAAGGUGAAACCGAGAGAGUGAGACAGUAAGCUGAGUCGGAGGCAGAGGAAGAAAGGUGACGAAGAGGCGAUGAGGAAGGAAGGAAGGCAGUGACGACUGACGAAGAGGAAGAGGGCGGCGGAAGAGUAGGGAGUAAGGUGUAAGGACUACGGUGAGUGAGUGAACAGAUUAGGGUUUUUGGCUUUUUGCAAUAUCACUUAUUAUUUCAAUUAUUAACUUAUUAUAUUAUAUAAUAUAUAUUAUAUAUGUAUUGUUAAAACUAUUAUAGUAUAUUAUUAUAUAUAAAUGUUAAUAUUCGAAUUCGAUAUAGAAUUUCCGAAUUCGAAUUCCUAUUUCGAAUUACCAAUUCGAAUUCGGUAAUUCCGAUUUCAAAAACUAUAUUUUCGAAUUCGACCCGAUUUCGAUCAAUUCGAAAUCGGAUUACCGAAUUCAACUACCGAAAUUCCGAAUUCGAAAUUCCGAAUUCAAUUCGAAAUCGAUUCCGAAAUCGAAAUUUUUCGACUUUGCACACCCCUAUUAACGCGUCAUGGGUCAUUUGGAUUUUACCUAUAUUGAAUAUUAUAUUAUAUAUUUAAAAACUAUCCCUAAUUUUAAAAUAACUUUAAAAAUGACUAAUCUUAUCUUAAUGAUAUCUAAAAUAACUUUAAAAAUAACUAAUUUUAUGUUAAUGAUAUAUGUUUUCUAUCAAAUUAUUACAUAGAACUAUAGUAAAACAUUUUUCAAAUCACAAUUAUUAAAAUCUUACUUAUUCCAUAAAUUACUUCCUUUUACCAUUGAUUAUUAUUCAAAUUGUUCAUCAUCUCUUCCCUUAAUUGUGAAUUAACUUAGUGAAAAAAAAAGAAUUAACUAUUACAUUAACAGAUUUAUCAAUAUUGUUGAUAUAUUGAUGAAAAAAAAGUGGAUUGCUAGAUCUUUUCUAGGUUCAUGGUCAUUAUAUAAAUAUGUACUUCUAGUUUGAUUUAACUUAUCUAAAAAGUUGAUUUAAUUAACUGUUAAUAUAUACGUCUAGGUUCCUGGUCAUUAUAAAUAUUUAAAUUAUCUAAAAGAAUAUUUAUUAAAAAAAAGAAUAUCUAUUAAGUUUUUGACAUGGAAUACAUUAUUUGAUGUAUAUUAUCAUAUUAUAGUGAAAAGUAUGUAAAUAAAUUUUUAAAAAUUAGUAGAUAAUUGAACAUUUAGAAUACAUUAAUUUUUUAAAGUUAAUAUGAAUGAAAAUGUAGAAUCAUUGUUAAUUUUGUAUUUAAAUUAUUCAUAUUUGUAUAAAUUCACAAUAAAUAAAAAAAAGGCCAUGUUAAGGCACAUGUAAAUUUCUAGUUUAAAAUCUAAUUUCUGUGGGUAGCCUGCCGUCUCUACAUCCAGCCUUUCGUGCGUCCCUUCCCUCUCCUCUUUUUUUUUUUAAAUUUUUUGAAAGGGAGAAUUGAAAAGCCUCAAUCUUAAUCACUCCACUAAAGUUUCCUUGACUUCGUCCCUCCACCAAAGUUUCUUCUUUAUUCCAAAAGCUUAAAUCGCCAACACAAAUUUCCACUUGUUAGUUACAUUUCGAUGAAGUAAGACAUUUUUCAAUAUAUCUCCGAAAUGAAUAUGAUUAAUUUUGUCUUUACGUAAACCUUUUAGGUGUAAUUCCCCGAGAAAUUGGCAAACUGCAUGGUUUGAAACUUCUCGUGUUGGGGCGUAACAACUUGACAGGUAAAUCAAGUCUCUGUAUAGCUUCAACAUUGAUGGUCUAUUUACAAUCAUGCAACUAGCAAUAUUUGGAGUAAGUUCUGGGUGAAAUGAAUUCAUGUCAUGUCUAUUUCAAUGUCCAUAAACUUCAGAUACUCCUACUUACUAUUUGGGGUGAGCAUUUGGUACAAAUUCGACAUUUUGGUGCAUCCAAUUCGAUAAAUUUGGUUAUGUGACCUAUAAAAUCUUACACCUAUUUCAAUUUUGAAUUAGAGCUAACUGAAUUCAUUUCAAUUUUGAAAUCUUACACCUAUUUCAAUUUUGAAUUCAUUUCAAUUCUGAAUUCAAAUUCGGGACUGGAAAUGAAAACGAUUUAACCGAAUUAAAUGGGAAAAAAUUGCAAUUGGUAUUCAUUUGUUCAAAUCAUUUGAAAAAUCGAUUAAUAUUAAUUUGUUCCCCUAUACCUAAUUAUAUCUUGAAUCCAAGCUUCAAUGAUUUAGGGAACAGAAAAAGUGAUUAAUUCAAAUCAAAAUGCAACUUACUUGUGUAGUUACAAAGUUACAAUUUACAAUGAGGAAUGAUUAGUGAUAAGUGAUAACUUUGCUAAUUCACUUGUGCAGUUGUGUACACUUAUACUGCUAUACAUACACUUGUAUAGUACUAAUUAUGUUUAAUAUUUAGUACUAUACUUAUAUAGUUGUACUUAUUAUCUAUUUGUGUAUACAGCGAUAAGUAUCAUAGUUAGUGUACUAUAAUAGUUAUAUUACAAAUAUUGUAAUAGUAUAUUGUACAUAAUUAUAUAUUAUUAUAGGUAUAUGAUGAUACUAUCUACUAUUUACAACUAAUAGCCUUUACUUAUAUAAAAUAUUAAUAGUAUAUAGGCUUUACCUAUAUAAUAUAUUAAUAGCAUAUAGCUAAUUUGAUAUUCAAAUGCGGUAAUAUGGGUUCUAUUUCAUUUUACUGAAUUUGAAUUCAAAAUCGAUUAUUAUCAAAUUGAAAUUCUUAUUACCUAUUUCAUAUCAAAUUAAAAUUAGGUGAAUUUGGUAAAUACCACUUUUGUACCAAAUACCAGAUACCCGAUAUCAAAUUACUAAAUUGAAUUUGAAAUAGAGUACGAAUUCGGUACUAAAUUGAAUUUGCUCAACCCCAUACUAUGGAAAACAUCCACCCAAAAAAAAAAACUUAGAAGUUCCAAAAGAGCCAUAUAUUCCUUGGACGUAUCUACUUAGAAAGUUUGUUACAACAACAUUUACUUACUUUAGAUAAACAUAAAUCCAGUGAGUAAUCAUUUUUUUCCCCUUAGUUUGCCGCCAUGUAAAAGUAUGGACCAUCAUUUUUUUUUAAACCCCUUUCUGUGCUGCAUUGGAACGAUUAUUAUGUGGAAAAAUCUUUUAUAUUAUUCGCUCUACCAUUUUUUUGGUAUUUGCGAUGUAAUUUAUGUAAGAAAUGAAAUGAUAACGAUUAAAAAAAAAGAAAGAAAAAAAUAAAAAACGGUGCUUAGAGAAUAAUGCAGAAGAAUCUUCUGACGCUGAUUUUGCCUCAAAGGGAACCCAGGCCUAUGUAGUGUGUAUACAUUUCACACACACUGCUAGCCGACUUCUGUGAUUGGCAGGUACGAUUCCACGAGAGAUAGGCAAUCUGCAAAACCUGCAGGGGCUCAAUCUGGAAUGGAAUCAAAUCAUGGGAAUGAUUCCAAAAGAAAUCGGGAAUUUGACGAUGCUUACUGAGCUCUAUUUCGCCAACAACUCCUUGACAGGUAAAUACAUCUUUAAAGUACCAUUUUUUGGUGAAGUAAAUCGAAAUCAGUUAACUAAACGGUUACAUCCAUUCAAAAAAAAAUUUAUUUAUAAUUGGUUUCUUCAAAGAAUUUUACAGCCUAAUGAUUGAUAUGCUUCCUUUGAAAAUGAAUCUGGCACACAGGUACAAUACCACCUGAGAUGGGUAACCUUUACCAACUCGAGAAUCUUCAGUUACCUUAUAAUGGCCUGAAUGGCUCCAAUCCCCCCGGACU